UUCGUAAACAUGGCAGCUAUCUUUGACUUGUCGUCGUCUGAGCUCCGUGAACAGCUCCUGCUGCUGCCGCUUCCCCCUCCGGGAGGGAGACUGGGGAGAAGGCCCAGGUCAGAGGUCACACCAACCAUUAUGACAUCAUGGCCCAGGCCUUCAUGAAGCGAACAAAGAUGGGGAAGAACACCGACGGUGGCAUCGUCUUCGAGCUCUCCCCGAAAAACUUCACCACGUCUUCAAAGGCGUCCUGAUGGCGUCCAAACCAAACAAAGGCUUCCAUUGGACGGGACGUUGUUUUAUGAAUGGUUGAAUACUAACAAUGAUCUCAAGAUGAUUCAUGUUGACGCUUCAAAACAACCGAGAAGUCGUUGUUGGGUGAGCUCCAUGCCGCGCUGCAUCUCCUUGACGUCACACAGCACGUUCUCCAGACUCACUACACACAGGUCUAAACUCUGCAGUCUGAAUCCGUAGACCGCUCCUCUCUUGCUGCUGUUCAUGUAGUUCCCCAGAGCCAAGAUGAUCUACGGAAGCAGGAUUGCCUCAUCGUUGAUGUCGUUGAAGACAGUCCCGUUGAUCUGACUUGGCUUCAGGGCAACCCAGUUCAACACCGGCAUCCUAAAC